GUUUCGCUGGGUUCGUUCCAGUAUUUUGUAUGAUUUAUUUAAAAACUAAAAAUUCGAUCUCUGGUAUUGCUGCGAAAUUGUCUAAACUGGUAUUAACUAUUCCUGGUAAAUCGCGGAGAAGAGUGGCCUGAACAAAAAAGUCAGACCGAGACUAGAACCUCCCGCAGCGUAACACGGAAAUCUUGGAACAAAAGAGACGCCGACUGGCUCGUGUUGUCCGGUUUGGAUAUCAGAGGCAAAGCGAACGUUGUGUGUACUAUUGCAAAAUAUAUAGCGGAUCUCCACGGUUAGGAUACAGACCACAACGCUUUGGACGUAUCUUUAAAAAAGAUUAAAAUCAGAGACUUUUUGGAUUGUCUGGGGACAUUUUAAACAUUUUGUGGCAAAUUGGAUUUAAAACAUUUCGGAUACUGGAUACCUAGUUUGAUUUGUCCACAGAGCUUGUUUAAGACGUUUUCACCGCAUUUUAGGGUUUAUUUUUAAUUAAAGGCUUCUUAAAACAUGUGUGAAAAUGUGUAUAUUAUACAAUGAGUCUUAUAUUGUCUGCUCUGACAUAAAUAAAUUUUUAUAUUAGAUUUUA